rnacentral:lncRNA from 14 species
UCCCACCGAUGAAUUUCAACGCCUCGCUCGUCUACUUGAAGCUGAAAACCAGAAGUUUUCGGUGAUUAGCUACAGAAUCGGAGUUCGGGAUUCGGUGACGGCUGAAACCUUCACCGUCUGCACUGGCCACACGACAAGUGAAAGAAGCAGCACCGACAGAAAAAACGAAAAGAAAAAAAAAACAACCAAGAUCAACUUCUCGAUUGGAUGGUCGUUUAAUGGACGCAAAGAGGGAGAAAGGCAACGAAAAGAUGGAGUUCAGCGAGCCAGGAGGCAAAAUGUUUAAUUUUUUCGCUUUUUCUUUUUUUUUAAUGUUUUUAUUUUCUCUUAUUUU